GACGAACGCUGGCGGCGUGCUUAACACAUGCAAGUCGAACGGAAAGGCCCCCUUGUGGGGUACUCGAGUGGUGAACGGGUGAGUAACACGUCAGUAACCUACCCUCGACUUUGGGAUAACUUCAGGAAACUGGGGCUAAUACCGGAUAGGAGCUCCUGCUGCAUGGUGGGGGUUGGAAAGUUUCGGCGGUUGGGGAUGGACUCGCGGCUUAUCUGCUUGUUGGUGGGGUAGUGGCUCACCAAGGCCUUGACGGGUAGCCGGCCUGAGAGGGUGAGCGGCCACAUUGGGACUGAGGUACGGCCCAGACUCCUACGGGAGGCAGCAGUGGGGAAUAUUGCACAAUGGGCGGAAGCCUGAUGCAGCAACGCCGCGUGCGGGAUGACGGCCUUCGGGUUGUAAACCGCUUUCGCCUGUGACGAAGCGUGAGUGACGGUAAUGGGUAAAGAAGCACCGGCUAACUACGUG
rnacentral:rRNA from 1 species